rnacentral:rRNA from 1 species
UCAGGACGAACGCUGGCGGCGUGCUUAACACAUGCAAGUCGAACGAGGAUAUGUCAGAGGAGAGCUUCGGCAGGAAUCAGGCAUAUUCGAGUGGCGGACGGGUGAGUAACGCGUGAGCAACCUGUCCCAGACAGGGGGAUAACACUUGGAAACAGGUGCUAAUACCGCAUAAGACCACGGUAUCACAUGGUAGUGGGGUAAAAGGAGCAAUCCGGUUUGGGGUGGGCUCGCGUCCGAUUAGAUAGUUGGUGAGGUAACGGCCCACCAAGUCGACGAUCGGUAGCCGACCUGAGAGGGCAAACGGCCACAUUGGGACUGAGACACGGCCCAAACUCCUACGGGAGGCAGCAGUGGGGAAUAUUGCACAAUGGAGGAAACUCUGAUGCCAGCGACGCCGCGUGAGUGAAGAAGUAUUUCGGUAUGUAAAGCCCUAUCAGCAGGAAAGAAAAUGACGGUACCUGACUAAGAAGCCCCGGCUAACUACGUGCCAGCAGCCGC